rnacentral:rRNA from 1 species
UACGUAGGGUGCAAGCGUUGUCCGGAAUUAUUGGGCGUAAAGAGCUCGUAGGCGGUCUGUCGCGUCUGCUGUGAAAACUCGGGGCUUAACCCCGGGCCUGCAGUGGGUACGGGCAGACUAGAGUGCGGUAGGGGAGACUGGAAUUCCUGGUGUAGCGGUGAAAUGCGCAGAUAUCAGGAGGAACACCGGUGGCGAAGGCGGGUCUCUGGGCCGUAACUGACGCUGAGGAGCGAAGGCAUGGGGAGCGAACAGG